AAGAGGAACAGCAGCACAAAUGCAAAAACUAUGUAAAGCACAAGGGCUUUCUUCAUCAAGAAGGCUGCAUUCUGACUGCCCUCUUCGAGCGCUUUCAAAGCAGUAAGGUAUUGAACCCAGGGACACUUAACCUGAGCCACAUACCUAGCCCUUUUGUCUGUGUGUGUUUGUGUGUGUGUUUUUAUUUGUAUUUUUAGAGACAAGAUCUGACUGAGUUGCUAAGUUGACCAAGCUGGCUUUGAACUAGCGAUCCUCCAGCCUCAGCCUCCAAAGCAUCUGAGAUUACAGGUGUACAGCUACGGAGCCCACCCAACUAUUUGUAUAAAUGAUUGUACUUUCUUAACAUAAGGGCAUGUAUUAUUUAAACUUAAAACCUCACAUGGAAUAAAAUUAGUCCCAUAGGCACAGCUUAUUAAAGCAAGUUGUAACUAAUAUACUAACUAAAAAAUUAUGACUUGGCAUCUUGAAAAUAUUUCAAGUAUUAAUUUUUUUCAAGACAAUUGGAAAGUAUAAAUUAGUUCUACACAUAUCAUGUAAUUAUUCCUAAAUCAAGCAAAAAUUUAACAAAUCCAUUUUUUGUUUUGUUUUGUAUUUUCCUUCUUCUUUUUCUUGGCACUGGAGAUUGAAACUAGGAGUGCUUUACCACAGGGCUAUAUCUCCACUCCUCUUUCUUUUUUAUUUUGACACAGCAUCUCACUAAAUUGCUGAAGCUGACCUUGAACUUGCAAUCCUCCUAGUCUCUAUAGUCUUAGUCUCUACAGUCAUAGAAUUACCAAGCGUGUGACACUGUGCCCAAGAAAUCAGUUAGAUCUAAGUGUAAUUUUUUUUUUUUUAGUGAACAGAAAUACUUGCAGACUUAUGUACAUCAAGUCAGUGGAAACUGACUAUACCUUUAAAAUAAAGCCAAUGUUGAUUAUUAUUCAUUAAAAUUCAGAUAAAUAGCAAAAAGCUAUAAGCAAAACACAGUGUCUCUACAAUAUUCAUACGAUACAUUCUUCCCACCUAAGUUAAAUGUUUUAAAACUUACAUACACUUCCAAACUGUAAAUAGGAACUGACCUAGGCUGCUCAGAUAACCCACCAUUCGGAAAUCCCAAACUACCAUUUUUAUACUGGCUAUACACUCCUAUGUGCUUACCUAAGUGUGGGACUCCUGACUAGGUGAAUUCUGACUUCAUGGUAUUUUUAUCUCUGUAAGGCAGGGCUGAACAUGGCAAUAUAUAGUCAACAAGUGAACUGAUGCAUAUACACCAUGGAACUGGAAGAAAUCCUAAACUGAAAAUCACCUCCAGGAUCGCUACAAAUUCCAAAUAAGAGGACCAUACGUAGUGAGGUAGUAAGCAUGGUGGAAAUAAAGCACCAAAACUCCACUGCAGCAUGAAGAGUUGCUGAUAACAAAAGUAUGGCUGGAGAAUUUCAGGAAACCUUUUGGGUCUUCUGCUGCCAUGAACAACUGGCCACAGCGCUUCAUAUUGAAGCUAACUUUUUUCCUAUCUACCCACCCUUUAAACCCAGAACCUUCCUGGGCUCUUAACAUCUCCAGGGCACAGAGUCUGGCACA